rnacentral:rRNA from 1 species
AUUGAACGCUGGCGGAAUGCUUUACACAUGCAAGUCGAACGGUAGAGGGGGCAACCCCUCGAGAGUGGCGAACGGGUGAGUAAUAUAUCGGAACGUGCCCAGUCGUGGGGGAUAACGUGGCGAAAGUUACGCUAAUACCGCAUACGAUCUAAGGAUGAAAGCGGGGGAUCGCAAGACCUCGCGCGAUUGGAGCGGCCGAUAUCAGAUUAGGUAGUUGGUGGGGUAAAGGCUCACCAAGCCAACGAUCUGUAGCUGGUCUGAGAGGACGACCAGCCACACUGGAACUGAGACACGGUCCAGACUCCUACGGGAGGCAGCAGUGGGGAAUUUUGGACAAUGGGCGCAAGUCUGAUCCAGCCAUUCCGCGUGCAGGAUGAAGGCCCUCGGGUUGUAAACUGCUUUUGUACGGAACGAAAAGGUCUCUCUUAAUACGGGGGGCUCAUGACGGUACCGUAAGAAUAAGCACCGGCUAACUACGUGCCAGCAGCCGCAGUAA